ACUCCUGCGGGAGGCAGCAGUGGGGAAUUUUGGACAAUGGGCGAAAGCCUGAUCCAGCAAUGCCGCGUGCAGGAUGAAGGCCUUCGGGUUGUAAACUGCUUUUGUACGGAACGAAAAAGCUCCUUCUAAUACAGGGGGCCCAUGACGGUACCGUAAGAAUAAGCACCGGCUAACUACGUGCCAGCAGCCGCGGUAAUACGUAGGGUGCGAGCGUUAAUCGGAAUUACUGGGCGUAAAGCGUGCGCAGGCGGUUAUGUAAGACAGAUGUGAAAUCCCCGGGCUCAACCUGGGAACUGCAUUUGGGACUGCAUGGCUAGAGUACGGUAGAGGGGGAUGGAAUUCCGCGUGUAGCAGUGAAAUGCGUAGAUAUGCGGAGGAACACCGAUGGCGAAGGCAAUCCCCUGGACCUGUACUGACGCUCAUGCACGAAAGCGUGGGGAGCAAACAGGAUUAGAAACCCGAGUAGUCCCAUGAU
rnacentral:rRNA from 1 species